rnacentral:rRNA from 1 species
GGGCUCCUUCGGGAGCACCGGCGGACUGCUCAGUAACACGUGGACAACCUACCCUCGGGUGGGGGAUAACCUCGGGAAACUGAGGCUAAUACCCCAUAGGCCUCGGAUACUGGAAGGUUCCGAGACCGAAAGCUCCGGCGCCCGAGGAUGGGUCUGCGGCCUAUCAGGUAGUUGGUGGUGUAAAGGACCACCAAGCCUACGACGGGUACGGGCCCUGAGAGGGGGAGCCCGGAGAUGGACUCUGAGACACGAGUCCAGGCCCUACGGGGCGCAGCAGGCGCGAAACCUUCGCAAUGCGCGAAAGCGCGACGAGGGGAGCCCGAGUGCCCUUCCUUUCGGGAGGGCUUUUCUGGAGCCUAAAAAGCUCCAGGAAUAAGGGCUGGGCAAGACGGGUGCCAGCCGCCGCGGUAAUACCCGCAGCUCGAGUGGUGACCACUAUUAUUGAGCCUAAAGCGUCCGUAGCCGGACCCGUAAAUCCCUGGGUAAAUCCUGGCGCUCAACGUCA